UCAUCACACCAGUGAGUGCCAC
rnacentral:siRNA from 1 species